GUAGGUGGUUUGUUGCNUCGUCUGUGAAAUUCCGGGGCUUAACUUCGGGGUGGCAGGCGAUACGGGCAUAACUAGAGUGCUGUAGGGGAGACUGGAAUUCCUGGUGUAGCGGUGGAAUGCGCAGAUAUCAGGAGGAACACCGAUGGCGAAGGCAGGUCUCUGGGCAGUAAUUGACGCUGAGGAGCGAAAGCAUGGGGAGCGAACAGGAUUAGAUACCCUGGUAGUCCAUGCUGUAAACGGUGGGCGUUAGGUGUGGGGACCGGUUUGGUUUCUGUGCCGUAGCUAACGCAUUAAGCGCCCCGCCUGGGGAGUACGGCUGCAAGGCCAAAACUCAAAGGAAUUGACGGGGGCCCGCACAAGCGGCGGAGCAUGUGGAUUAAUUCGAUGCAACGCGAAGAACCUUACCUGGGUUUGACAUGCACCAGACGGUUGUAGAGAUACGUACCUCCCUUUGUGGUUGGUGUGCAGGUGGUGCAUGGUUGUCGUCAGUUCGUGUCGUGAGAUGUUGGGUUAAGUCCCGCAACGAGCGCAACCCUUGUCUUAUGUUGCCAGCACUUUGGGUGGGGACUCAUGAGAGACUGCCGGGGUUAACUCGGAGGAAGGUGGGGAUGACGUCAAAUCAUCAUGCCCUUUAUGCCCAGGGCUUCACACAUGCUACAAUGGUUAGUACAACGCGCUGCGAACCUGUGGGGGUGAGCGAAUCGCUGAAAGCUAAUCUCAGUUCGGAUUGGGGUCUGCAACUCGACCCCAUGAAGUCGGAGUCGCUAGUAAUCGCAGAUCAGCAAUGCUGCGGUGAAUACGUUCCCGGGCCUUGUACACACCGCCCGUCACGUCAUGAAAGUUGGUAACACCCGAAGCCCAUGGCCUAACC
rnacentral:rRNA from 1 species